GAGAGAGAGAGAGAGAGAACAGUCUAGAAGUUUCCCAAAACACCAAAUAUUGUUUAAUAUUGAUAGUUUAGUUACUGGUAUUAGGAAAACCAAUAUUUUAACUAAUAAGAAAUAAUCAAACAAACAAACAACCCAGGAACAGGGAAGAAGCUGAAAUCAUCACAAGCCGAAAUCCCAACAUAACUAAACCAAAUAACCCCAAAUUUAAAUCAAAAUUAGUCAAGAUUGCAUUCAGGAGAAUCAAAAUUAAAAAUGAAAAAAAAUGAGAAGCAACAAAUUCGUACAAUCCACCAAGUGAAAUUUGACGGCUGGGCAAGAGCAGCAAUAGCAGUUGCAGCAACCACAAAAGGAAGCAUUGCUGAAAGUAC
rnacentral:misc_RNA from 1 species